CAAACAUGGCGGACGGAUUCGGUUUUUGCCGAAUGGCGAAAAGUAACAGCAAUCUUUUUGUGGCAAGAGAUCUUGCUUCAUCUGUCAAAACACUUUUGGGACCACUGCACAGUUUGAAAUGCUGUUUGUCAGAUGAUGAGGCUGUGAUGUGCAGCAGUACGUCCAAGUUGUUGCAGUUCAUUGACAUACAGCAUCCAGCUGGUUUUGUUAUUAAUGAUGCUUGCCAAGGCCAGUACAAGAAAUACAGGACAAACUGCAAAACUCUGGUCUGCUUGGCUGGUUUCUGGAGCACAGCAGUGCAUGAUUUACAAGAUCAGGGUGUCCCUGUUCCAAUCAUUGUACGUCUUCUUGAUGAUGCAUUGGAAGUGUGUGAAACGGUUUGUCAAGAAAUGUCCAUUCCAGUUUUUGAAGCUUUGCAAGGUCACCUGAUGUCAAACUCAGCUCCUAAUGGUGAUGAUGUGGCUGGCCUGGCAGAAGGCAAGGGAUCAAAUGUGGGAUCUUCACGUGGUCUUGGUGAAAGAUCAGAAAAGUUGGAAGAGAGUGAUGUUGACAAUGAUUUUGGGGAUGACAAUGACAUAUCAUGGUAUUUCAAUGGUAGAAUCUCAGGGGUUGAUGGUCAAAUCCUAGGGGUUGAUGGCCAAAUAGCAGGGGUCUACAGUCACAUCCCAGGGGUUGAUGGUCAUAUCCAAGGGGGUGUUGGCCAUAUCCUAGGAGUUCAAGCUCACCUCACUGGGACUGAUGUCAAUAUCCCAUUUGGAACUAAUACGGGGUUUAUUAAAGACUUUUGCCUAACAAUGGAACUUCCUCACAGUGAUCUACUGGAAAUGACAAGUUCUGACAAAGAGAUUAGCAGAGAUCUACGUUCAGUCAACAGCGAUGAGACCUCAAGGAAUGUUUUGUCAGAACAUGGCAAGCUUGUAGUGAACAUGGGAGACACAAAUGCUCACAGUAAAAAUAUUUCAUCUCCUUGGGUCAAUGCAAGAAAGCCAGGAGCAUUCCCCAAUGCACCAAAUAAAACUAUGUUGUCAGUAGAACAUAAAGACAGAGACUUGAAACUCAGCUCACCAAAGAAAGAAGGAACCUGCAAUGCAGACAAUGUUCCAAACUCACCUUCAGAAUCACUGGAGUUCACUAGUGAAACUUUAUCGUCAAGAAUAGAAAACGAAAAUGAAGGCGAAGAUGAAUUUGAAGCGUCAUUUCAAGAGGUGGUUCGUAAUUCUGUUAACGAAGAUCUAGGAAGGAACAUAGCUGAAUUAACAGUUCAAAAGGAGAGAAAUGACAAAUUUCCCUCUGAAGUUAGAAGUAAAAGAAGCACUGAGACAUGCCAUAAAACAAACUGCUCAAAAUUAGAAAAUACCGAAGUGGAAUCUUCUCACAUUAUGAAUAAGAAACUUGUGAAUCCACUUAGUCUUUCUUCGUCUCGUUGCAAAGACAAGGAAGAAAGCGAUAAAUUGCUGUCUCUUCUGUCAGCAAAACUAGAAAAUAAGAGCAAAGCUUUCGGAAGAAAGGUUAAAAUGGCGGAAGUAUUCAAGGGGAGUAGACAUUUUAGGCAACGUUCAACGGACGAACUCUUUUCAGAGAACACUUCUGCAAGUAUUGUAAAUCCAACUACAAACAUUUCAUGUAAUGGCAAAACGCGCGUAAAACGUGAAACCUCUUCAACAAGUAAAACCAGUUUACAGUCUUUGCUCAAAACAGGUCAAGCUGGAAAACCAGCUUUGGUAAAUUCAGCACCACAUGAUAGGAAAACUGGCAAGGAAAAUUUUGCAGAACAAAAUCAAGAUAGGUCCACCGUUGUUCCAAAGCAAACAGACGAAUUGAAGUUAAUUGAAAGACACAAGCAGCUGUUAUCAAAGCUUGGAAAACGUCUCUCUCACGGCAAGGAAAAAGAAAUGCAACUUGCCAUUGAGGUGGUGAAUUCCCUCCUCCUGUCUUCGGGUAAAAUUUCACUACAAGAAUUGGAAAUUCCUUUAAGAAUGAUUCACGCAGAGUUGGUUCAAGGCCCACCAAGUUCUUUCUCCCAGAGAAUGGACGGUCUCCUGUUGGAGUGCACUACAUGGUGUAACACUGCUUUAAGAAGUCGCAGGUCGGUGUCUGAAUCGCAAGUCUCUGUGGCCCUUGUUAAUGGCGAUGUUACCGAGGAAUUUCGCCACGUGGGGCUAAACAAAGAAUACCCAAUUCACAGAAUCAUCGAGAAUGAAGAUGAUUUUAAAGCAUCUUUUUUCAGUCAGGGGAAAGACUGGCAUCAGCGCGUAACAGAAACCCUCCGUAAGCACAAAAUUGGUCUUCUUGUCGUGAAAGGAAUUGUACAGGAUUCAGUUCGGGAUUUUUGUUCAUCUCAAGGUAUAGAGGUGCUUCAAAGCAUUGCAUAUCCUGCUCUUCAACUCUUGUCCUACGCUACCGACUCCACAAUAGUAACCUAUCUUGCUGAUUUAAGGGAGCAAGAUAUAGGAAGACCUGUUACCAUGGAAACGUGGGACGUCGGCUGGGCACCUUCUUUGGUGAGACGGAGCAAGUCCAAAGCUGGGGACGAUCAUGAAGUCAAAGGCAUCAAGGCCUGUCACUAUGUCCUCGUUAAAGAGGAACCCAAGGGGACAGCAAGCUGGAAAGAUUCGUGCAGUCCACUACAGACAGUGCUACUAUGCAGCCCUAGUAAAGAUGUUCUUUGUGACAUGGAAGAACGGUUCUGGAAUUCCAUUUAUCGUUUGAAGAAUGCCCUCUCUUGUGGCCGAGUGCUGCCUGGGGCAGGAGCAAUUGAGAUCGCUUGCAUACGGCGCCUGAAAAAAGCGGGCGAACAAAGGGAACCGACUUUGUCACUCAACCCUCUUUCAGGUUGGUUACAAGAAAGCUUGGAGAUUUUCAGACCUGUGGUGUACACAGCAUUUGCGCAAGGUUUCAAAGAAUUUUUGGGGAACGUUCUUUAUAACUCCGGGGAAUUUGCCGCUCUUUGCGGAGUGUCUACCCGUGUUGAACAGGUGGUUAACUCGGGAUGUUCUUUGGGUAAUCUUGAAUGUUUCAAAUAUGAACGUUCUGAAGACGAUCAAAGUGAACUCCAGAUCACGGCAGGAAUCACGCGACAUCACGCGACAGCACACGUUUCUGACAUCCCUGCGUGUAAUGCUGCGGGUUUCAGCGUUGAUAGUUUCCAAGAUCCCGUUGCGUCGAAAAUUUUGUCUUGUAAUGCAGAAAGCGAUGUAUGGGAUGAUUAUACCGCUAAGAAAGAAGCAUGGAGGCGCGCUGUUGGUAUAGUAAGAAUUCUGCUUCAGUCAGACUUGUUGGUAGAAACGGGAUUAACGCGCAACGACAAAGAAGCUGUUCUCUUUUGAAGGCCUCAUUUUCCUUGCGGUUAACCUGAUAGCAAGCAUCAGUUCCAAUACGAACGAAAGAGCGUUUUCCGCUUUCUGGCCGCGCCCUUCGGUUUUUUUCUCUCGCCCCAAUAUUCGUGCAACCAGCAGGCGAGAAACUCUGCUCGUACGGGAACGCUUAUCUCGCAGGCUACCGUACGGUCUUUUUCACCUGCACUUUGCUUUUUGCUGUUUCGUUAGCUGAUCUGAGGAACGAAAGUAAUAAUAACCAGUAGCUAAAGAAGACUCUGUAUUCUUUUAUCCUUCACUCUCUCGCUAGUUGAGAUAUUAACACAACCUGGACAUGAAAUAAGAAAUCUAUAAACUAUCCUCUUUCUCCAAAAUUUGGCUUGUACUAAGCUAGCGGAUUUCUAUGGAGAGGAGCAACUUGAUAUAAGAAACUUUUCGUCUUAUGAUGCACUUGAUAGAGGUUUUCCGAUUUUUUAUUUCGUUAAUUCACUUUUUUUUCCAGAUUCAAAUUUAAGGAACCGUCGUACAGUCGAACCUCUAUUAAGCGACCAUCUAGUUAUCAAAGUCCCGAAAUUAUUGUCAGUUAAAUACUGUAAAUAAAACCCCCUAUUAACCGGCCACCUCUUUUAAGCGGCUACGGCCAUCCUUUCGACAUCCCGAUGAGGGUUUUUCUACUGUUUUUACCCCUAUUAAACGACCAUCAAAAAUUUAAUACACGUAAAUUGACUUCAGAUUGUUUUGGAGAAGGCGAUGGCAGAUUAGAGUCCGAAAUAGAAGGCGACGAGUUAUAAAAACAUUCAAACAAACGUUUAUUAUGAUUGUCUAGAAGUGACUUCAUGUUCACUGAGAAGUUAACACGAUGGUGAAAAUAUUCAAGGUAAACAAACCCCUAUUGAGCGACCUACUCUCAUUUCCCCUGAUGGGGUUGGACUGUAGUAUUUUCUUUCAUCAUAGUCCUAGCCUUGAGAAAGAUUUAUGUUGUACGGUGGAACUGCGCCUUACGGUCACAUCGUUAAUGCGGUCACCUCGUUAUUAGGGCCACUUUUUCUUGUCCCGGCGAAACGCCCAUACGCUUUCUUAUUAGAAAACCCCGUUAAUGCGGCCACCCCGUCAAUCCCCAACCGGUUUAAUCCUUCAUUAUUUUACCCUGUUCAUACGGCCACUCGAACCAGUUAUGCUCAACUUUCCAUUGUUAAUAUUUCGUACACUGAUGCAAGUCUCCUUUUUUUAAGUUAUACCCGUAUUCUGAAUGCUUGUUAAGGAACAUUUGUUUAGAAGUGUAAUUGUGUUAUAUCUGUUAAGACGUCACUCAAUUUAGACCAGUCGUGAGAUUUGGCCCUACCCCGCUAGUACAGCCACGCCGCUAAUAAAGCCAAAUUUUCAUGGCCCGUUGGUGACUGUAUUAACGGGGUCCACCGUAAGUGGAAAUAUUGGCCACAGUAGACCAGCCCCUCUGCCGUAGUGCCAGCCUUGCAUUCUUUAUUUAUCCAAGCUUCGUCACGCAGUUAUGUGUUGUCACUGUGAAAGGCAACUUCUGGUUCAGUUUUGCAGAACUGCUGUUUUCUUGUUUGUUUAUUUGACGGGCCAGCAAUUUUUACUUCAGCGCUUCCGACGAGAGACUGGGGCGAGUUGAGCGUUAUGACGUCAAAAUAUGCAGACUGUACGUAUUAGCUGUUGCUAAUUACAGCCUUAUAAAACAGAACGCUGCGUGGGAGUUGGAUUAAAAAUAAAAUUUUUAAACCAGCUAGGGUUAUUCGGAAUACCUUUGUAGUUUCAUCUCUGGAAAAGACACGUGCAGCUGGCACAAUCGAUGUUUAAUGGCCACUUACUACCAUGAGCAGUGAGUUAUAGAAACUCUAAAGAGUUUGCGUCAAGCAAGAUGAGCUGAUUUUCGCCGAUUUUCUCAAGCUUGUCGGACGGAAGUGACGUCAGGACCGGUUGACCAGACCGCCCCCGAGGGCUUUCCACCAUAUUUGGCGUUGAAUGGCAAGGCUCUCACGUAAUGAU
rnacentral:misc_RNA from 1 species